rnacentral:rRNA from 1 species
GAACUGAAGAGUUUGAUCCUGGCUCAGAUUGAACGCUGGCGGUAUGCUUAACACAUGCAAGUCGAACGGUAACAGGCCGCUGGGAUCCCUUCGGGGUGACCUUGGCGCUGACGAGUGGCGAACGGGUGAGUAAUGCUUGGGAAUCUACCCAGUAGUGGGGGACAACCCGGUGAAAACCGGGCUAAUACCGCGUACGUCCUACGGGAGAAAGUGGGGGAUCUUCGGACCUCACGCUAUUGGAUGAGCCCAAGUCGGAUUAGCUUGUUGGUGGGGUAAAGGCCUACCAAGGCGACGAUCCGUAGCUGGUCUGAGAGGACGAUCAGCCACACUGGGACUGAGACACGGCCCAGACUCCUACGGGAGGCAGCAGUGGGGAAUAUUGGACAAUGGGCGCAAGCCUGAUCCAGCAAU